UACUGGCGCUUUAUACUACGGUUUGAGU
rnacentral:sRNA from 1 species